UCCUCCCUCUGGCGGCGUGCUUAACACAUGCAAGUCGAACGGAAAGGCCCUGCUUUUGUGGGGUGCUCGAGUGGCGAACGGGUGAGUAACACGUGAGUAACCUGCCCUUGACUUUGGGAUAACUUCAGGAAACUGGGGCUAAUACCGGAUAGGAGCUCCUGCUGCAUGGUGGGGGUUGGAAAGUUUCGGCGGUUGGGGAUGGACUCGCGGCUUAUCAGCUUGUUGGUGGGGUAGUGGCUUACCAAGGCUUUGACGGGUAGCCGGCCUGAGAGGGUGACCGGCCACAUUGGGACUGAGAUACGGCCCAGACUCCUACGGGAGGCAGCAGUGGGGAAUAUUGCACAAUGGGCUGAAGCCUGAUGCAGCAACGCCGCGUGCGGGAUGACGGCCUUCGGGUUGUAAACCGCUUUCGCCUGUGACGAAGCGUGAGUGACGGUAAUGGGUAAAGAAGCACCGGCUAACUACGUG
rnacentral:rRNA from 1 species